rnacentral:rRNA from 1 species
CAGUAGCCGCGGUAAUACGAGGGGUGCAAGCGUUAUUCGGAUUGAUUGGGUGUAAAGGGUGUGCAGACGGCUUAUUAAGUCACUUGUUAAAUUCUUCGGCCUAACUGAAGGUCUGCAAGUGAUACUGAUGAGCUAGAGGGUGGAAGAGAGAAGUGGAAUUCUCGGAGUAGCGGUAAAAUGCGUAGAUCUCGAGAGGAACACCAAUGGCGAAGGCAGCUUCUUGGCCCAUUCCUGACGUUCAUACACGAAAGCGUGGGGAGCAAACAGGAUUAGAUACCCCCGUAGUCCCUGUCUCUUAUAC